AGCGAACGCUGGCGGCGUGCUUAACACAUGCAAGUCGAACGUGAAAUGUAGCAAUACAGAGUAAAGUGGCGUACGGGUGAGUAACACGUGGGUAAUCUACCAAAGAGCCUGGAAUAACCGGCCGAAAGGCUGGCUAAUACCAGAUAGUUCAAGUGAAAUAUAAUGUUUCGAUUGGGAAAGGGAGCGAGCAAUCGCCUUCACUUUUUGAUGAGCCCGCGUCUGAUUAGCUAGUUGGUGAGGUAAUGGCUCACCAAGGCUGAGAUCAGUAGCUGGUCUGAGAGGAUGAUCAGCCACACUGGAACUGAAACACGGUCCAGACUCCUACGGGAGGCAGCAGUGGGGAAUCUUGCGCAAUGGACGAAGUCUGACGCAGCCACGCCGCGUGAGUGAAGAAGGCC
rnacentral:rRNA from 1 species